GACAGCUGUGAACAGAGGAGCAGUCUGUUGUCAGAGCACAUUAUCCUUCUGCAAAGUGUACGUUGCUCUUCAGAAUUUCUGACUAGAAAAACGUGUCGGUCAAAGUGCUUUUUUAAAUUUUAUUUUUUAAAAAGGAUUGCUAACAUGUUUUCAUGUAUGAAGAAGAUGAUGAAUGUUCAGCACUGUCUAAAUCAGUAAAACCUUUCUUGAGAACUUCAGUGACCUUCUUCUGCCAAAGUAUCCAGCAUCAAUUCUGAGCCAUCACUGAAAGAAGAAGAUUCCAUUAGCAGGCACUUGGAUUGUGAGCAAGAGAAAAAGUCCCAAAGCAUAAAGGCUGGAGAGAUGAGCAGUGACUGAAUAACACGUUUUGCUGUAUUCUGCCAUGGAACCACUUAAUUAAGUUAUUUCUCCAGCUACAUGCUGUGUCAACUGAAGUUAUACCUCAUGUCUUGUUAAAAUCUAGAGAAGUAAGCUACCUGGAGAAUUUGAGUAACAUUUGAGAAGACAUAAUAAUGCAAAAGAUCAAGGGGAUUCACUGCUAAGUACUGUCAGGGUUGUUAACAAAAUUACCAGUGAAGAAGAAAAAAUGAAUCAAUGAUGAAUAAUCAUGUACUGAAUCAGAAUUAAGCUGAAAAAAAAAUAUCUGAAAGGAACAGAAAAUGGACUCUGGAAAAGAUUGGAUGAAACAGAACACGACAAUUCAAAUGAGCGAGGUGGGUAAAAUUAUGUUGGAGGGAAUGCAAAUAAAAUUAAAGGAAAAUGUAACUCAGGGAGAUAGGGGACAUGAAAUAGAAUUAUGUCAAAUGGAAAAUAUAGACAAAAAUGUAAAGGAGACAGAGUGGUAUAAUAAGAGAGUGAUUGAAAAUGGAGCAAUGCAGAAGGAUGUGAAAGGG